rnacentral:rRNA from 1 species
AGGACAACGCUGGCGGCGUGCCUAACACAUGCAAGUCGAACGGUAUCAACCAAGCAGCAAUGUGAGGUUGGUAUAGUGGCGGACGGGUGAGUAACGCGUGAGCAACCUGCCUUCAAGAGGGGGAUAACACCGGGAAACCGGUGCUAAUACCGCAUAAGACCACACUAUCGAAUGGUAGAGGGGUCAAAGGAGAAAUCCACUUGAAGAGGGGCUCGCGUCCCAUUAGCUAGUAGGUAGGGUAACGGCCUACCUAGGCGACGAUGGGUAACCGGGCUGAGAGGCUGAACGGUCACACUGGGACUGAGACACGGCCCAGACUCCUACGGGAGGCAGCAGUGGGGAAUAUUGGGCAAUGGGCGAAAGCCUGACCCAGCAACGCCGCGUGAAGGAAGAAGGUUUUCGGAUUGUAAACUUCUGUCGCAGGGGACGAAAAAAAUGACGGUACCCUGUGAGGAAGCCCCGGCUAACUACGUG